rnacentral:rRNA from 1 species
UACGAAGGGUGCAAACGUUGCUCGGAAUUAUUGGGCGUAAAGCGCACGUAGGCGGCUUAGCAAGUCGGAAGUGAAAUCCCUCGGCUCAACCAAGGAAGUGCAUCCGAAACUGCCGAGCUUGAGUACUUAAGAGGAUCGCGGAAUUCCCGGUGUAGAGGUGAAAUGCGUAGAUAUCAGGAGGAACACCGAUGGCGAAGGCAGCUCUCUGGGCCCUAUCUGACGCUGAGGUGCGAAAGCGUGGGGAGCGAACGGG